UGUCCUCGGGCGGGAGGAGCCGUGAAGGCGGCUCGUUACCUGCGGCGGCGCGGCGAUCUUUCCCUUUCACCGUGACCGGCAAAGUGUUUGCCUGAGAGCUGCUGGGAGCACCGGCCCCGGCCCUGUGAGGCGGUUCCCUCGGGCUCACCGAGGCCGCGCUCCCGAGCAUGGAGCCGCUGCUCUCGCGCCUUCCCGCCCACCUCAGGAGGGCCUUGGUGGCUGGUGAGGGACGGACACACCAGCUCCCGUUCGUCGCUCCUUUCUUGUAAACAUCUGUCUUACCAUUUCGGUUUACUGUGCUAGGACCAUCUGCAGCAAGUUAUAUUCCAGUUCAGGCCCUUCCAGCGGUUGCUCCAGCCCUGUCAGCUGUCCGUGACCAGCCCACAUGCCAGUCCUGUGUGCACACUGGCUCAUCAGCUGUCUAAGCCAACACCUUGUGCCUCCAAGCACCUUCACUUUUCCUCAGGCCAGGAGGAGCCCAGCGUCUGCUGGAGUUGCUGAGAUUCCCUAGAUGCGGAAUGGGGUCAGGUAUUGCCUGUAAUAAUCUGAAGAGCUUUAUGCAGUAAGAGUUUCUGGUCGGGGUGCACAUGUACUGCCACAAAGAGGAGGGGAAGAAGGACGGCAGCUGCCUUUGAGAGCAGGAAGAAAAAGUCACAGAGUCUGCAACCACCUUCCUCCCAAACCAACAGGUUUUGCAAGAGGGCUGAACCUUAACUGAAAACCGCUUUGCAAAAUAAAACUGAAAAUUCUUGUGGAGGAAAGCAACAAAGCUGACAGCAAAAACGCCAAGAAAGUCCGUUUUAACUGCAUCAGCUUCUCACCUUCUGAAUUCUCUGGAGGGACAGAGCAGUUCGAAAUGUCUGAUACUCCAUGAACACGACACCUGUUGACUCUCGGGGUAACCACAGUGUGAAGAUGACGGUUUGGGCAAAAUCAAAGGUGACUGGGUUUAGGACUGGGGUGGGUUAUGUGUAUUUACACCAGGAGGUGCCACUGCAAGUUGGAAUUUCCCCCCUUUCUGAUAAAAGAGGAAAAUAGAUAUUUUUCUUUCCCCCUGUGGUUUACUCAUCUAAAUUCAUUUGAUCUUGCUCUGCAGAGUAGCUGAUAAAGGAAUCUGGAAAAACAAAAAUGGUGUUUAAAACCAACGUGCUUUUACUUAACAGCCUGACUUUAAAGUGUUUCAGCUCUUGUUUCCCAGUGUCUGCCCGGCUCCUGCUCGCCCUGGGAUGGGUUUGGAGUUUCGGGGCGCUCCGGAGGCGGGUGUGAAGGGAACUGAAUGGUGUGAACCAGUAGAGAACCCUUGGGACUCAUUUCUUCAGCUGUGAUGGCAGGAGCUCUUGUGGGUCCCCAGGGCACCCCAUGGAUUGUGGCACCUGCAGUUACUGCUCUGCAGCCCCAAACGCAUCCUUCAGCUCCUCUUGGGGCAGGCUGUUUCCAAAGAAAACAGGAUCCAGUUUGUUAACUACCAAUCAUGUACCAGUUGAGCUACGGCUGUUAAAAACUAUCUGCUUUACUAUUUAUUUUCUGCUACUCUCAUUAUUUUUACCAAGGUUUCUCUUUCCUCUGUGAUUACAAACAUUUUAUAAUGUAGGAAAAAAUGUUUGCUUUAGUAGAAGUUUUAGUUUCUUUUCCAAUUGUAUUUUAGAACGAUAUUUUAGUAGGCAUGCCAUGUGAGCACCAUUUCUAUCAAACUCCUUUCUUGUCCCUGCUUAAGGUAGAGAAGACACACGAGAACCUUUUUUCCAGAGGCUGCAGACUCUGCUGGAUUUCGGUAUCUUCCUCUCCUCAUCUACAUACUUACCCUUAUUUUAUAGAAAUUGAAAAAUUGCCACAAUGACAAUUUUGUAAAGCCCGUGUCGGAGGCUGUAAAGGAAACCAGAACCUGUUUGCCUGGAUUUUCAUUCCCAGGGUGUGUAAGGGAGAAGUGGUGACUGGGGUUUUCAUUCAUUUGCAGCCACACGGUUCAGACCGCGAUCAGCAGCCUCCAGGUUUACUAGAAACUGGAAGCGCUGAGGGAGUGAGAGCGGAGCAGCUGUGAGAAACAGCGAUAUAAAACUGCUAUCCUGCUAUUUGAAGUAUGAAUGUGCAGUUACAUUUUAAAUCACAAGCAAUUGCAAAACCAAACACCAGUGCUAGUGUCCAGCAGAACGACAGCGCUCCUGAAGUCAGCUGUAGUUUGUAUUUAAAGGAUUGUUUCCUUUCAGUAGGAUUUACAGCUUGUAGACAGUUCUGUGUUUGUACAGCAAGAGGCGGUACAGCAGUUUGGAGGACUUCUAAACCCGUGAACUAGUCCCGCUCGCUAUGGGUGCGCUCACCGCGCCACGACCCGCUGCACACCUGCACAAAAACUGCAGCACCAGAAAGGCAGUUGGAAGUGAUUGCAGUGUGUAACUGCUGAGGGGGCGAUGGACGGAGGAGCCGCUGCAUUGCUGCUUAAACCAGCGCUCGGUCAGUGUGUCCAAUUGCCACUGAUGGUGGCUGCUGUUUAAUUGCAGCUCUCUGGCUGGAGUUGGAGCGGUGCUGCAGGCCCCAGACAACCUUGUAGCGCUAAAUGUACCCACACAUUACAGAUACGGACCCAACAGUAACGAGCGGGUGUUUUCUCUGGAUUUUCUUCCCCAUUCUCCCCCCAUUUCUCCACUAUUCUUUGAAAGUUGAUGUAUUACAGCAAGGAGGAGCAGUAGGAGCACUACUCUGAGACCAAAAUCAGCUUUUCCAACCUUGUUCAUUCUCCACAUCCUUUGAUGAGAGAUUUGUUAAUGGUUCAGUGUCCGUCAACAACCAGUUCUUCUACAAUUUUGGCUGGAGAAGGAUUGAUUCUGAGAUUUCUGGGCAAGUCCUGCCCUGCCCCUGCCCCCGUGUGUCCAAACCCACCAGCUGUGCCCGUCUCUAACUCGCUCUCCCGCCUUUCGUAUCGACGCACAACAAUUCACCGACAGCUGAGUUGUCGCUGGUCGCUGUCACUUUAAUUAUCAGGGAGUUUGGGGACCAGCUGGACAGCUUCAGUACAUUCUGUGCUGCUAAGAGGCACUUUAUUGACCGUCCGUGUCUCGGGUAGCAGGUUGGAGGUUGCCGCUACAGUCAACAGGAGUCUUGAAGUUACAACUUGAAGUAUUUUUAUUGACAGUUUUUUUACAAGCAUUUCCUUUUCAUUACUUUCACCAAAAUAAAGCAUCUAGCAUACAGUGUUUUCACACAGUUAGGAGAUAAAUAAGUGUAUCUUGAAUUCUCUAAUGCAUUGAUAGCUUAUGCAAUACAAAGUUUUUCUUCAUUUAUAUUAAUUUUAAAUACAGCUUGUUUGCCCCUUUUUUAAAAACUAACUUUUAUCUGUUAUCAUACGUCUCCCUUGUUAACUUAUAGAUGUUUAAACCAUUGGGAAACUGCAGCGAUAUUUAUUGCUAGAGAUAAAAAGUUGCUCCAUUAGGAUGAAAUUUGUAUAUCAAGUUAUCAACUGGUAAAUUAAGAAAAAAACCCUAAAUGUCAAUUGAACUGAUACAGAAAAUGUCAACUGAACUGAUACAGAAACACUUCAAAGAGUAACAACUAUUUAACCUACACCUCCAAUUUGUUUGUAGAAUAAUAAAAUAAUAAUCCAAGUUUCAUAUUUCCACGUUGAUUGGUGUGCACGUUAAUUAUGGUACUUUCUGAAUUUCAUUUAGAAUUUACAAUAGACUUGUUUGUAGUUAUAAACGGAGGUAUAAAGACAGAAUCUCACCGUGCAUUUCUCUUGACAUUACCAACUAUGUUAAAUGUAUAAUUGAAGGUCAUCAAUACAAUCCCAUUCAACUUAAUUGAAUAUCCCAGACUAACUCCAUGUGCUCAGGGUUUCAUGCUGCAUAGCUGAGGAAGGACACUACUGGGUGGCACUUUGUGUCUUCAGUGGCACUUUGUUCCGCAAAGGACAGCGGGUUUUGCAUGACCAGCGUUACCAUUCAGAACUCUAUUUUACUAUGUGCACGAUCAACGCAGGGAUCACUAAAGGAAGCGUGUCCCAGGUGUGCGCAGCUCAGCUGAUGGUGCAGGGAUCCUCGCCGCUCGGGCGCAGCUCGCCCUCCAGCAGCAGGGAGAUCACGGCCUUGCUCAGGUAGCUGCACGUUCCCUUCCUCCCGAGCGGGGGGGUGUUGUAGAACGCGGUCGCGUCAGCCUGGCGCAGGGACGGGGUUGUUGUUCAGCGCGGGUUGGGGAAAGCAGCAAAUGGGGACAUCACAAAUACGUUAGAAAUGCAAAGAUGGUUUGCAGGCUCUAAAGCUUCAGUGUAAUUCUGCUCCAUCUUCAGAAACCUCCCACAUACCUGACCAUGUGGAAUACAGAUUCCUAAAAUGCAUUGCCUAUAUUUCUUCACUGAAUGUUCCAGCCCUGUACAGACUGCACCCUGUUAGCACUUUUCAGUGUCAGAGCAGCGGGGCUCUCUGGGCCUGCGGCGGAUGGUCCCUGUGUGGUGACCGCUGUGCCGCGCGAGCGCGAGCCAGGUCUGCGUGCACGAGCACAUCCUGACGCCAGAUUUAUUUAGAAGAAAUAAAUAAAUAAAUCUAAGGGCUAAACCACAGGUAGCACGUGAACCAAUUCAUUAAUCAGAUCAACAAAAUCGGUUUCCUUCACUGAACACCUGUUCCGCACAGUUGAUGAUGUUAAAGCAUCUGCUUCUUUUCAAGUUAUUUAUUGGCUGCUAUAAUAAAGGUUCAAUGCUUUAAUUCAGGAAAUGGGUUACUUUCAAAUCAAGGGCAGAGAUUAGCGAAAUAUUAGACUUCUCUAAUUUUAGGCUGUGUUUGAAAUUAUUGGAGGAAAUACUUGGGACAUUUAUUACACGGUAAUUGGAAAUGAACAAAGUUCAGAAUAUUUUGAAGCCAGUGCAAUGGCAGAGCACAGUUCAGAGCAGGACUCGUUUAGCAGCUUCGUUAGGAGAACGUGAGAUGGGAUGUCAUGGGAACAUCCCACAGAGCGGCAGGACCUGGGAACACGGGACAGGCGGCGUCCCGAGAGUCCCCAUGCAGGGAGCUGGAGUUUCCAACACCACUGGGCUGAAGGAUCCUGUUCACAACUAUAACUUGGGGUUUCUUUCUAAGGGACAAAAAGGCAUCAUACUAAGUACAUCUGGGCUUGGAAAAAAAUCCAUCGCUUUGCCGGAGGCCAGGGCAGCACCAGCAAAAAUGGGGUUUGGCACAGGAUUUGGGUGUGUUUCCAGCCUUUACCAGCUUGUCACAGGAGUCAGCAGCGCAUUCACGACCCCGUGCGGCGCUGGCACCCGAUGGCCCUUUGUGUGGGUGACGAGGCUGAUUUUGCUGUGGUCGCAAGCUCAGUCAUUACCCUCCUAGCUGGGCAGGCCACAAGCGUGACUUAAUAAAACUGGGUCCUUUCAAAACCAAAGGGAUGCUGCAAGGUGAGCUGUUGCUAUGGCUGGAUGGAUAUCUGGCUUGCUUUCCAAUCUUAGUACGAAAGAGUAGUGGCAAAAAUGUGAGCCCUGGAGCUUUGGGAACGGUUCUUAAGGAGCAGACCAGUCCUCGUCUUUAACGGAGCUCAAUGCAGCAGCAGAAGUGCUGUUGCAUAUCAGUAUGUUAUGAAUCAGCAGAUUACUCAGAGCUUUAUUACAAAAUUUCAGAGCUUUGAGGCACCAAAACUUGUAACAAGAAUAUUUAGCGUUCUUUGAAGCAUAAAACCUAAAAUCAUAGUGAAGUAAAUCUUAAAAACUACUUAAUGAUCAAGUUACAUUUAUUUGGAUUUUAAGUCUUAAGACAUUAAAAGCUUGCAAGGUCAAUAGUGCAACUCUAGCACAGCAAUCAGCAGCCAAGAACAGUUUUGCAUCUCCAGUUCUGACAUUAGUGCUGCCAAUGGGAGUUCUUUGGUGAGUACAUUUUACUCGUGCACAGCAAUCUCAGCCUCACACUUCCCUGCUGAGCUCUAGUGUUUUCUUUCUUUCUUUUUGUUAUUCUUAGCUCUGCUCAGUUCCAGUGUCCCCCCUAAUUAAUUCUUUCCCCUUUCAUGAGUAUUAUAACUAUUUUGGCUUUACCCAGACUCUCAUUUCAAAGCUGGGUAACAUUAGCACAGAAUCACAGAAUCACAGAAUCGACUGCGUUGGAAAAGCCCUCAGAGAUCAUCCAGUCCAACCGUUGGUCCAACUCCAGUCCAUUGACUAGAUCAUGGCACUAAGUGCCAUGUCCAGUCUCAGUUUACAAACCUGCAGGGCCGGUGAGUCCAGCACCUCCCUGGGCAGCCAUUCCAAUGCCUGACCACUCUCUCUGCAAAGAAUUGCUUUCUAAUCUCCAGCCUCAAUUUCCCCUGGCAGAGUUGAAGCCCAUGGCCCCUUGUCCUAUUGCUGACUGCCUGGGAGAAGAGACCAAUCCCCACCUGGCUAGAACUGCCCUUCAGGUAGUUCUAGAGAGUGCUGAGCUCAGCUCUAAGCCUCCUCUUCUCCAGACUAAACAACCCCAGCUCCCUCAGCCUCUCCCCAUAGGGCUUGUGUUCAAUGUUUAUGAGUGUUCUCCUUCCCAUACCAGUUUGAAUUAACAAUUUAGCAAUAAAGACGUACACAUCUUUUAUCUCUGCUCACAGGCCAGACUUACACAGCACUUGGCUAUAUUAUUAUCUGUGUUCCAUUCUGAACUCCUGUCAAUAUCUUUUUAUUCUGAACUGCACAGAAUUACAUUUAUAAUUAACUUCAAUCAGAAUGGUAAAUGCUAUAAGACACUAAUACUUCACUCACCUUAGGACUGCUGUGAUCUUUCUGAAAGUCAUGAAGUGCUUCUUGCACCACUUUGUCUAAGUCCACUUUGUCCUGGAACUCCAGCUCAGGGUUUCUCUCCAAAAUAACAGAUAUGACCAUCAACAACUGGAAGGCAGAAAAAGACCGUCAGGCUUGAGACUGGAUUUGUUCAGAUUUGGGUUACGUAAGAGCACUGGUACUAAUCGAUGUGCAGGAAGCCAUUGAAUAACAGCCCAGGGAACGGUACACAGCUGAUCAUGUUCUGAGCUGCAGAAAAGAGGCACUGAAAUGCAGGUCUCUGGGCCAGGCGGCAGUGUCUGCGGGCUGCCCGGCGCAGGGCGCUGUGCGAAGGACGGACCUUCACACCCAGCCGCGCGGGGAGCCCGGAGGCACCUCCCCAGUUCAUCAGUCGCUGGCUGUUGGCUGCAGCGGCGCUGGUGUUCAGCCAGGGCACACAGCAACCGCUGCCCCUCAGCAUCUGCUCUUGAGAGGCACAAUCACGUAUGUGAUCAGUAAAAUCCUGCUAGGACAAGGUUUAUAAAAACAAAGUCAGCAGACAUCAAUAAAACGUCUCAGUUAAAAAGAAUUUACAUUCCUUACAUCUGGAAGAGGUUUGACAUAGGAAGGUGAACAUGAUGAGAGACCUGAGUGUCAUAACAAGGACAGGUGGGCAGUCGAGUCUAUAUUCUCAUCCAGGGUUUGGAUAAUCGAGUUUCUCUGUCAGCCCGCAGCAGGACACUGGUUGUCAGCCAGAACUGGGGUGGACUGGGUAUUUCUGGGAGGAACCCCCACCGGCACCAGAGGCAGCUGCUCGGGCCCUCGCACUGAGCUGCUGCCAGCACUGGGGUCCUGACGGGGGGUACAGCGGCUUUGGUUCCAAAUGAUCCAUCAUGUGCGGGGGAAGGACUCUGAACAGCCUCGAGCUUUCCUGGUGGCUCUGGGAAGGUCAGGGAACCCGGAGUUUGUUGAUUCAGCAGCAUAAAGCAGCUUACUAGAGACAGACCUCAGCAAAACGGGAAGAAUCUGCCACGGGGCAAACUGACUGUUGGAGGGUUUUCCCUAGACCGAGAAAAUGGGUAGAAAAAGGCCCGGGCAGGGCUGGAAGGAAAGCUACUCUGGGGUUACUGUGAUUAGCAGUGUUCACCUCCUGUGACCUACUGGUAUUGGCACCGUCCUUAAUAUUUAUCUAUUGGCCAAAGGGGAAGAGCAUCAAAAACUUAGCAUAUUCUGAACACGUUAACAGGAACCUGUUCAUCAUACAAAUCCAUGGAGGAACCAUUGAAGCAAGAGUUUAUAUUUAAAAUGCUAUUUCUUCAAAUAUUUGAGUCUCAGUUAUGCAUUUUUUUUCAUUUUAAGCUGUAACAUACUCAUGUACGUGAUAAAAUGUCAUUCAUUGUAGGCCACAGACCUCUACAAUGAUUUGCCUGUAUUCCGGCUGGUCGAUAUUUUGCAGCAUAUCUUCAACGAGAAGGGAAAAAUUCAUUUCAUACAUCGUCAUAUCCGAUAAGGUUGGUUGCUGGAAAACAAGUAAUACUUUUAGUCAAAGGCCACUUGCAUCACGUCAAACCCGCCCCCGGCAGAGCCUGUUUGCUUGUUGAAUAAAUAAUCCUCAGCUAAGAAAUGUGAACACUGUAGGGUUAGAAAGAGCAGAUUUCAGAGUCCAUGACUUGGAAAGUGUAUUUUAGACUUAUUCUUUUAUAAAUGUUUUGGUUUUGAUAAUGACAGGAACAAACUACCCUAAGUAAUACGUUAUGGCAUAAAGUAGACAUGAACAAUAAAACAAUCCCGCGUUAGCGGUCAGGUGAGCAGCCCUGACUGCGCAUCCCGCAGCGUUACCUGCGGCAGGAACUUCCCCGCCACGAUUAACCCGUUGGGGGUUCUCUCCAGGAUCUGCCACACGCGGUCGUAGAAUCCGGCCGGCGUCCGGUUGAGACACCCGUCGAUCUGCCGCCGGUUCAGCCAGCUCCUGCGCAGGAAAACCACAGCGUGGGCCAAAGCGCUCCAGCUGCGGGGCCACGGUGGGACGGCGGAGCCACGGCGGGACGGCGGAGCCACGGCGGGACGGCGGAGCCACGGCGGGACGGCGGAGCCACGCUCCCACACAGCCGUGGAGCUCGUGCUUUGUGGCAAGCGGCUCCAGAGCAAACCCGAGCAGGUGCUCCGCACACACAGCUCGGGAUCUCGUUUGUGCUUUUUGGAACUGGACUAAGAGAAUUAACUGUGAAAUGUCCCCAGUGCAGUAACAGAACUCGGCUGAGUUCAUCGUGUCUGAUCAAAUCAACUAAAUAAUAUAUAAACCACCAGUCACUGUGAGGUACCGACAACAGCCAAAUCUAUGCAGGCUGAAAAAAAACCCCAGUAUUAACUAUAAAUUUAUCAUACAGUAGGCAAAACAAUUCAAUAUAUAAAUACAGCUCAACGAAUCUAUAAAACACAAAACGUACUAGAUAAUGGCUUCGAAACAUCUGUCCCUCUAAUUUAAACACCAGGUUAGAAAUCUGCAUUUCAGCAGGAUCACUGAAGGCAGCUUUUAUGACCGUGUGGAGCAAAACAAGUGCCUGUAAGUUUAGAACAUCUGACAGAAUGGUUUUGUUACACUAAAGCUUUGCACAAACAGAGUUACGCUCUGAUAAAUGACAAAUUCUGUUUCCCUUUGGAAACGCUGUCCACACCUUUAUUUUCCUUACAACCACGACGUCUGGAGUUCAGCUCUGGUGCGGCUCCCUCUCGGGGUUGGGCAGCACGGGGCUGGAGCCAGAACGCGUGAGGCAGCAUCAGCGGAGCUCAGAGAGGCGGCCGCCGUGCUGGGAUUGAACGGGGCCGCACAGCACAGAACGCAGCCUCCAGCAGCUGUGCUGCACGUAUUGACGGAGGAGUUUGCCUAAAGCGUACUGUCACAGAAUCACAGAAUCACAGAAUCACAGAAUCACAGAAUGGACUGGGUUGGAAAAGCCCUCAGAGAUCAUCCAGUCCAACCCUUGGUCCAACUCCAGUCCAUUGACUAGAUCAUGGCACUAAGUGCCAUGUCCAGUCUCAGUUUACAAACCUCCAGGGCCGGUGAGUCCAGCACCUCCCUGGGCAGCCAUUCCAAUGCCUGACCACUCUCUCUGUAAAGAAUUGCUUUCUCAUCUCCAGCCUCAAUUUCCCCUGGCAGAGUUUAAGCCCAUGGCCCCUUGUCCUAUUGCUGAUGCCUGGGAGAAGAGACCAGUCCCCACCUGGCUAGAACUGCCCUUCAGGUAGUUCUAGAGAGUGCUGAGCUCAGCUCUAAGCCUCCUCUUCUCCAGACUAAACAAGCCCAGCUCCCUCAGCCUCUCCUCAUAGGGCUUGUGUUCAAGUCCCUAGUUGCUUUUUAAAUUUUAAGCAGAAAAUCCAUUUUUCUACAGUGAGAGAGCAGUGAGAGCUUCCCUAGGAAGCAAAGCUUUGGUGAAAAGCAAGUAAUGGUUUUGUGUCUUAGUUUAACGCUCCCACAAAAGGGUGGUUGGGGUUGGUUGGUUUGUUUGUUAAGCCCUUUUAUCACCUCGGUAAGAGGGAACUUAAAGGACCUGAUUCAGGAAAGGUGGGAAGUCCCUACACCUAAAUGUCUGGAUAUUUGCAGCACAAGAAUGAACACACUAUUACACAUUAUUUACCACUGUGGGUUUGUUUGGGGGAUUUUAGUUUUUCCUCUAUUUGUAUUGACAGAUUAACCUGAUAUGUUCAGAACAAAAUGAGUUGUCAGCACAACUGCUGGUUUGUGCAGAUGGCAGCGGGCCAGCUGAAAUAACAAAAAGAUCUUACAUUGAAAAACCUGAAUCUUAAAUACUGGAGAAGAGAUGAGAAUUCCUCCGGAGCUCUGCCCAGAAAGAGGACUCUCUCCAGACAGCUCCAUGGGUGUUCUUCCAUUUGUCUUCAUUUGCUCAGGGUAGCUCCCAACUACACUCGAGGACACAUUGUGGUGGGUUUUUUAAAGGGAAAAACAAAGUAUUACUAAGUGGUGCAUCUUCUGAAGAGCUUUGAGCUCCAGGUAAUUGGGAUAUGAAUAUGAGCACAAAGAUGAUAUUUAAAGUGAAGGCUUUAAAGCACUUGUGAUACAACAGCUGCUACUGACAUUAGUUACCGCUGCCGGGAUCGUGCCAAUAUGUAGCAUUUUUUUCCUGUAGAACUGUACUGGAUUAACAUGUCAAAUAAAGAAAAAUGUCUCAUAAAUCACUUCUCAAUAAAGCGUUUAACGGCCACAACCCUGCACCCGCCGUGCCCCCGGCAGCUCGUGCUCUGCACAGCUCGGCCCUCGGACGCGGACAAGAAACAUUCAGACCAGUUGCGAUAGAAAUAAAAGGUUGUUUUCCUAAUACAAAGAAAGAAGCAUUUGAAGUUGUCAGAAAUACUCCAACCUACCUAUCUGACUAUGGGAAGGAAGAGUCCUGUAAACUCAAUGAGCAAAAUGAGUUUUGUCGCUGUUUGGAUCAAUAAGAGAACAACGCUCCAUGUAAAAAAGGCUGCUCGCAAUCUCGUGACCUGCGUAAACCGGUCAGAAAGAGUGUGUGUGGAAGUCUGCACUCCGUUAGCAAUAUAUAGAUAUAUAAAAUUUGACUGUCCAUGAAAACGUGGAGAGUUUAGUUGUGGAGAGAGUGCUGGGGAGGUAAAUGCACCACCAGCCCUUGGCCUGUGCCAGGUGACCGGCAGGGACAGGCGCUGUCACAGCAGCAGAGCAUCUUUCUACAAGUCACAACAGUAGGAAAAACGAUCACGGAAAGAAAAUGCGAGGAGACAGGGUUCAGUACUUCCUGGCAGCAAGAGAACUCUUAAAAACAAGUCACUCAUGGGUAAGGAGAAGGAGCGAGUAAUAGAGUACAGGAAGACGCUCUGAGGGAUAUGCUGGCUGGCUCUUGCGCGCAGAUAAGAAUCUUCGUCCUCAGAAAAAGCGCCCAGAGUGCUCUUUGCUGACCCAGCUGUUGUACGUGAAAGGAAUCACAAGCAGAAGGCAGCGUGACAACUCAGGUAGGAUCUCUAAUGAGGGUAAUGAAGCUUGAACUGACCAAAUUGUUUCCUAAAUAGCAUAAUAUUUAAUGGAAAAUGCUGCAAAGAGAAAGCUGGGCUUGUUCUGCUGGGGAUUUAGAAGAAUAAUGUCAAUGUACUGUGUCCAGCUCUGGGUGCUCAGCACAGGACACACAUGGACCUGCUGGAGAGGGGCCAGAGGAGCCACAGGAAUGACCUGAGGCUGGAACAGCUCUGCUGGGAGGACAGAAUCACAGAAUGACAGGCUGAAAGAACUGGAGUGUUCAGCUGGAGAAGAAAAGCUCUGGGGAGACCUUAAUGCGGCCUUUCCGCACUUAAAAGGGGCCCAUAAGAAAGAUGGGGACAGACUUUUGAGCAGGGCCUGUUAUAAUAGGACAAGGGGUGAUGGUUUAAACUAAAGGAGGGAGAUUCAGACAUGAGGAAGGAAUUGUUGCCCUGAGGGUGGUGAGAGCCUGUGCCAUGUUGGCCAGAGAGGUGGUGGAUGAACCAUCCCUGGAGACAUCCCAGGCCAGGCUGGACGGGGCUCUGAGCACCCUGAGCUGGUGAAGAUGUCCCUGCUCAUGGCAGGGGGCACUGGGGAGCUGGGGAGGGCCUUCAGCACAAACUGUUGGAUGAUUCUAUACGAAGAGCCACCACUGAGCAGCAGGCAGUAAAUGCCACGACCGGGACGCUGAAAAGCACGUGGGAUAUAGAGAGUUCAGAGUCAGUUGGACUGAGACACUGUACAUCACAUGAAUUAGAAAAAGAGCAGACACCGAUUUAAGGAGCUUGUUUCUUGGGCAUUAUAGACCAGGGAAAACACAAGAAUGUGUUGUGAAUUAAGCAGGAGCAUAAAGUAGUCUGACGUGUGGUACAUUUCCUCUUUGUCAAGAGAAAAGGUCACCUCCGUUCAGUCCAAAAUUGUGGAAAUUAUCAGCAGUAUUACAUGUCAAGUUUAACCUAACUUAACCAGAAGUAAAACCUACAGGAGGACUUUCGGCUUUAUUCUUAUCAACAUAGUUAGGUGGAAAUGUUGUAAUUUUAACUUCUGUCUUGCAUGCCUUGUAUCACAACGAAUGCUCCUUUUGGCAGCCGGCUACCGCUUGGAGAAAAGAUUACAACAUUCAGGCAGUAUCGCUGUCUCUUGGCAAUUCUAGAGAACAUCUGUUCUCCAUUCAUAUAAUAAGCUAGAAGAGGGCACAGAACAGCAGAGAAACUGUUCGUAAAGUUACUUAAAGGUACUUUGUCCCCAUCAAAGAACGCAAUGGCUCACAUUACUGUCAGAGUACAGAGAUCAGUGCUGUAAAUUCAGACUUCCACACAGGUAAAGCCGAGAAGAGAAGCUGCAGCAUAAAAGCAACAAUUGUAGAAGCUGGACAGGGGUGAAAGGAUGAAAAAGUGCCUUUUUGCUGCCUUUCCUUCAAUAAGUAUGUCAGUGACUGCAGGUGCCUGGUGGUUUCAGUCGCACACAGAGGGUGCGGAGGUGAGACGCGCGUUACCUGCCCUGCUGCUGGGGCUGCAGAAUGUCCAGCAGGAGCUGCUUCACUUCGCUCGGGGACAUCUGGUACAGGUCCUUGGCCGGCAUGUCCCCAGCACGGAUCUGCAGCUCGUACUUCAUCGCGUGGAUAAUCCACCUGAAGGAAAGGCGGGAACACCUUCACCAAUUCAGUACAGGACUAACUUUUCAUCUUUACUAUCAAAGUCCUUAUUUUCUAACAAAAUGAUUUUUUAGCCAGAAACAACUAUUUUACUUUGCUCAACAGUUGCUUGCAUAUUAAUUAUUUUAGUUUAAGAAAUUAUAUUAGCAAUUUGGAACCACAUUUCCAAACCAACCAAACAAGACAAAAGCUGUGCGGGUACAUCCUGGCACUCAGGUAAUACUGCUCUACUUUCAAAAACUUCCUUUUCACUGUGCAAUCACAACUGAAAAUUCUCACAGCUCUAGCAAAGCAGGAGGAUGAACGGACCUUCCAGCAAUUUGCAGAAGAACAUAUAUCCAUUUGUGCAGCACGGUACGUUCCCAGAGAUAUUACGACCUUUUUCGUUUACUAGACAGAAUCCAUUAUACACACGAAUACAAGUAACCGCUGCAAACCUUGUGAUUUCAAUCACUGCUCGGCGCAGGGUGAGGGUGGGUGUGGGUUAACACAGCUUGUCUCACGCCCAGCUCGCUGAGGGGGAUCCUUUUACUUCCCGCUCCCCCAGUGCGACUCCAGGACCUGCGGGAUCCACUAAGGAGCUGAGCUGGCUGACAGAACUCACCAAGUGGGUAGAGAACGGGUGUUCUAGUUAGUCUCAUAAAGCAGCUCAUAAGAAUUCCGCAUGAUCCGGCUGUUUGGCUGUCAGGACGCACAUAAAGUAUCACACAAAUACUCUCCUACUCCUACUGUAUUGUGGAAUUUACUCAGAUUUUGUGUUUGGCAUCUGAUACAAACCGAAGGGAUAACGGGUUUGGCGCAGUGGGCUGUGCAGCACGCUUCUCCUGUGUGACCAUGUAUUCCCCUACAUCCCAUGUUCAUUAAGAGAAACAUUCACCUGCCUUUUGAUAUUCCAGUUCCUCCUCAGAAUUACACUCUGACAGUACCUGCAUUUUGAUGAGGAGUUAUAAAAAACAUUAAAAUGAUUUUACAUUUAAAAAGACUCCAGGGCUCAUGUAUAGUUGUAGCCUUUGAAAUUCCCUUUGCAGUCUAUCACAUCUUUCUUUUGCUUCUCCCUUUUGAAAAUAUUUGAUUAAAUAAAAAUAUGGCAACAGUAAAGAUUUUUGUAGCCUGAGGUAUCAGAGGCAGAACUUUGCGAAUUAUUGAAUGAAACUGCUGAAUUUUAUUCUGCAUAUUAUAUAAACACAGUGCUACAGCCUCUAAUGUAGUAUCAAAGAUGAACUAAUGUGGAUGCAUGUGAGGCAAGGUGACGGAGCAUGGAGCUCAGCCUCUCACCAUCUACAUCGCUUCAGAUCAAGGGGGUGGAACUAUGGAAAGGAAAAGAAACUGCCGGGAAAUGCUGAGUGUUCCUAGGAGAGCGACUGGUCCCCAGCGCGGCCGCGUUCCACGCGCCGCUCCUUGCGGUGCAGACUGGUUUUGUUUGUGCGAGACAAGCCACUCCUCUGCAGGAUUCCCAGUAACCGCCCAGAAAUCGGAGAGUGCGAGCUUUCUGGGACCACCGAUUGAAGGUGCAAGAUAGAGGAGAACGUUGGGCAACCUGGGCAUAUCGCAUUACCCACGACACUGUUUCAGUGAGUGAACAGUGUUCUUCUCGUUACUGAGAUCAACAAACACUGAGGCUGAGGAACCGGUUCUUUGGUCACCAGUGACUCCAGUGUAUGUGUACGGGUGUCAUUUGCUGGGAUUUUCUCUUUGUGGUGGCCCAAAGCACAGCCAGGAGUGGCCCUGCGGCUCAGCCUGCGCUGGGAAGGGGGUUUUACAGCAAUGGGGCUGUCAGCUACGUGAUCUAUUUCAACAUAAAGCCCUGAAAACAAAUCAAUAACAAGACACUAAAUCAAAUCAUUAUCAAACUGGAAUGGUGUUUCUGGGAGAAGGUUAAUUUUGCUCACUGGAGUGGGUGAUAACACGGAAAUAAAGGAAAUUGAAUUUCUAGCAUUAACCUUGGAAGAAAGGAAAAAGAAUUAGCUACAGAGAAUGCAGGAGGAAAGGGUAACAUGGAUCUGGUGAGGUACAGAAAAGGCAUUUAAGUGAAAAAGGACAGAUGCGCUUGCAAUUAAAUGUAAUACAGGUGAUUUGACAAGUUUUUGGUUUUAUGGUGAGUGGAAUGUACGGCUAAAGCAGAACCAUGAAUCUUGUGUACUAGAAAAAACGCUGCUGGUAUCUCCUGCCAGGGCUGAAACGCUGUAUUUUCUCCAUGAGAAGAUAUGGCAGACGGAACACUUAAGUUCUAAUCAUAAAGCACGCUUGUGAAUUCUGUAAAUCUCAGUCGGGAGCACCUGGCCUCUUCAAAGAAGUGCUUAUUCAAAUGCAUCUGUCUCUUCCAAAUGUGAAAACAUCAUUAAUUUCUGUAGCUAGCAAAGCAAAUGCAAGUAGCAGGUGAUAUGCUACCGCUGCAGCACACUGGCUGGAGGUCACCUUAUCGAACAAUGGCGUACAACGAUGUUUUAGACUUGAUUCAGGUUGUGGUUCCUAAGCUCUGCGUAGCUCAGCCUGUUUAGCACAGAGCUGGACAACCCGGGAGCCCAUGGACAGCUGAGUGUGGUGUGUGUCUGCAACAGGGAGACUUACUCAGUUGUUGGGGGCUAGAGAACAAAAAAGACGUGUAGCAACCUUCUAGGACAAAUCGGGUUUUUCUUUAUCGGGGCAGUUAAAUCUUUCUGUGCAGAGAACAACGUCUUCAUUACGCCCAUCAGAUACUCGGAUUCACUGAGUACAAAGUAUACCCUGGCACCUCAAAAUAUUGUCAGAAAAGCUGAAAUGGUAAACGUUAGAGCUGCAGAAGGUUUUAUUACAGACAGACAACAAAGAACAAGCUAUCUUUCAGAUAUUGUGCUGAAACUCUGAAAAGAAAUUGUUUAAGUACCUUGGAACACUCUUUCCACAGGAUCUGUUGCUGUGGUUGCCAGACUUUAAAGCCUGGUUUAGGCAAGGCUGUGUUUUGAGCUCAGCACUUACUAGAAACCACAGAAUGCAACUAGAAUUGUAUGUUGACUUGGAGGAGAAUUGCGUGGUGUCGGGAGGGAAUCAAAUCCACACUGCAUCCUUCCUAGAUUCUUGCAUUUCUGCAGCCUAUCCUGCACCCGUCUGCCCCAAACCUACGUGACACAAGGAACUACCAGGUGAGCAAAAACCUUUAACAGACAAAUUUGAGAUGAGCUGAGGGACCUGCUUUUGGCACACUCAUUUAAAACAGACUUCCCAGAAAUGUACAACUGAAGUACAGAAGUUUUGCUGCAGUGUCUUCUAUAAAUUGUUCUUGCAAUGUAGCAACCAUCUCUGUUGAAGUCUGUGUCGUGGGUUAACCCGAGCUGGCAAUACAACCACGCAGCCGCUCGCUCACCCCAACAGGGGAGAACUGAAAGGGAGAAACUUGGACUGAGAUAAACACAGUUUAAUAAAAUAACAAAAUACUAAUACACUACUAGUAAAUAUAUAUAAAAAAUAGAAAUAAAAGGUACUGAAGGCAAUUCCCCAGGAACUCCAUCCACACUGAGCCCCAGCCCUGAGCUGCCCAUCCAAAAGAGAGAAAAAGGCAGAAAGGCUCAGAGGCCUCUGCAAAAUGGCAAAAGGCCAAACUAAACAUCCUGAUCAAACUCCCCAGAAAGUGCAAGAGCCAAAUCCUUAAAUAUGCAGCAUGACGCCAAUGGGCUGGAACACUCUCAUUGCUCAGUCUGGGUGUCCAUCCAGCUCUGUCCGUCCAUCCAUCCCCUUCCCCGCUGCCUCACACCUGUGGGCAGAGCUCAGUGUCCUCAGCUCUCAGACCAGAGCAACUGAAAACAUUAACCCUGUGCUGGGCUGUUAUCUCUUGUCCUCAAACUAAGUCCAAAUACUGAGCGUGCUGGCUAUGGAAAAGAAAGGUUUCUAACUGCACAAAGAAAGUUAACCCAUUUUCAGUCAAACCAGCACGGUUUGUUCCCUGCAGGAGCAGCGAGAAGCAGGGUGGGUACGCACCCGACGCGGAUCUGCAGCAUCCCGCUGAACAGCUCGGGCGAGUUGGAGAUGAUCCAGCCGAUGUGUAUGACCAGCUCCUGCUGCACCACCGCUUCUCGUUCGUCUUGGAAGUGGCAUUUUUCAUAGAGGAUGUUCUUAAUCACUGCUGGGGACAAGGGGUUAGAAAUAACCGCUUCCUCUUGGCCAAAAGCGCCGAGUGUCACCUACGAUACAUCAAAACCAAUUCAGAAGAUCCGGACAGGAAUAAAAGCACCACAGAAGCAAUUCAGACAUGAAGCUUUAUGAACGCUGCUUUUCUUGUUAAAGUUUCUCAAUACAAAAAUGAUUUUAUGCCAGUGACUGAUGCUGGUUAAUACUGUUAGUUGGAUGCUAUUAAAACAACGUUCACUACAGACCACAGUAAAUACGGAAUCUCUUUUUCCAAAUGAAAAUGAAGGUAUGAGACCACUGCUUUGGGUUCAAAACUGGCUGUUUAACUAGAUUUAGAUCGUUUUUCAUUUCUGACAUUUCAGCUGUGAAGCUCACUUAAAAUUCAGAAUUAAAUCAAUAUAUUUGUUUUCUUAUUUCUAACAGCAUCCUAAAAGUUCUAGCCUUCGCUUGAGGAAAAUACAUUGCUGGUGCUAAAUUGCUUAACCACAAAAAAGGAAUUUUGUUAAAAUUCUGAUUUCCUUUAAACUACUGUCAGUAAAACACUCAAACACUAAUUUUUCUCCUAUAAUAAAAAUCAUUAGUAUAAAGCGAUGAGUGAAGGCACGUUAGGAGAGGAGACACAGACACAGCUGUCAGAACAGCACUCUGUGUAGGUAAGUGUGCGCAUAUACAAAAUCACAGAAUAUUCAAUUACUAUUAUUUGGAAACAACUCUUCAUGAGCUUAAUGAAAAUUAUCGUGCUGGGAGGAAAAAAAUAGUCCCUCCUUAGGAAAGGAAGAAACACUGACCAUUAAACUUGGUUUGCAACAGGACACUGAAAUCCCAAACAACUUUCUGCUCCUGUGGUGUCUCAGGCUCCAUCAUUACAGGGGCUUGGCUACAUCUUCCUUAAGCCUUAAAACUAAGCUUUCUUACCUGACUCCAGCUACUUUUGUGAAAUAAGAGGGCAUAUAUAUGUAAAUUCACAGGAGUUAUGUAUAUCAUGCCUCUUCCCUUCUUAUCUAGACACUGAACUGUCUUUUCAGUAUUGUUCUGCCAUUAAAUCAAAGUAACUUUAUUAGCCCACAGUAUACACAAGGAUUCAACCUAUUUUCUCUGGAUUUCUCCUCUUCAGAAACAAUUUUUUAAGCCAUUGGGUACUUUUAAAAGAAGCAUCAGAGGCCUUAAAAAUGAAAAAGCCCAUUCAAUUAGUUUCUCAGUUAUCAUUCCUUAAUACAUUUCUGAGGAGCGAGGACUUACCUGCUUGCCCUGCACUAAAACAUUAGUAAUAGAUGGUGCAAGGCUGUCCACUAGUUUACCUAAAAGACUCGCAGCGAAGCGCACAACAGACCUGAGGGCAGAAAACAGAGCAAUCCCACUGCACAUCACAAGCUCGUUUAAUGAAUUCACAGACAAUCUCGAGUCUGCCGCAGCAGAGCGCAACACCCACUCACGACACGGAGACGUGACCGAUAAGGCAGAAUUUGGAGUGGAUUUUACGUCAUCUUCUACGGACUUCCGUUUUUUAGUCUAGAUACAGGUUAAUGGAUCAACAAUCGAUUUAGUCAGAACUCAUUAAACCGCCAGCUCCAUACAAAAGCUUGUUGUUCUUUUCUCAGCAUCAUCUUCAAGCCAAAGGGGUGAGAAGUGCCAGCUUCUCUUGUGCGACAUCCGCAUCGUUUGCCAAGGUAAGCUUGGCCAUUUUUCGGUCAGAAAGAUUUUGCAAGAGAAAGUACAACAUGUAACACCAAGGCUUUGUUUGCUUUCUGUGCUGAGGAGACACUCCGCACGAGUCGCAUGAAGAGACUGCUGUGAACUGCUGGGUUAACUUCGCUCUAACUGCCAAGAAACAUUUUUCAUAUAUCCAGUUGAUGGUUAAAGAUAGAAAUACUUUUAAUAAUAGUUUCCUGACAAAAUACAAACCUAACAGACCCAUAUCCGAGCUCUUCUAGCGCAGGCUUUUAGGCUACUAAGAAUCAUUUAUUCACAGAGAUAAUGAACGAGUUGAAAUCUUUUAUAAUGUUAGUAAAAAAAGUCAAACAAUUGAUGUUGAUUCCUGUGAAACUGCUAUGUGCUUCUUAAGAUCAAGAGCAAAGCGUUUCAAAAUGCGUUAGCUGAUGCCAUCAAAAUGCAAAUAAGCAAAAAAAUAAUAAUAAAGAUCUCACUGAGCUGCAUUUCAGACUUGUGGGCACUUUACCUGUUUCCCAUGUACCAGUAAAGUGGUAAUAUGUGGGGUUAUAGAAGAGGAAAAUUUCUGUGCAAAUGCGGCACUGUAGCGCAACACCAA